GGGCUUAGAAAGAUUUCGGCGACAAAUUCCUCAAGUCACGACAGGACAGAGUGUUGCUGUGAGGAGAUGACUCGUGAUGGCCACCUUAACUACGCGGAUUGCAGGGACUUGCGACCAUUUAUAUGUGAAAAGCAGAUAAGAGGUCAUGUUCGACGUGUUCUUCAAGUUUAACGAGAAAGCUUCAAAAAGGUUGCCUACUAUGGUUGUAAAGACAUCUCCACAAUCGGAUGAUGAACAGCGUGACAUCAAUGAACUGGCAACUUCAUCUCUGUGACCUCGGCUCAUUCUUCAUAAAAAAUCAUAAAGAACCCAGAAAUAUUUAAAUGAUCUGCAAUAAUUUAUAUACUUUUACAGUUUGACUCAAAGCGUUAUUCAGACAUGUUGAAUUUUGUCUUUCUGUUUGGAUUGUUAUGUUUUGGUAGAAUUUUAAAUAUUACUGUGUAAAAAAAGUAUUAGAGAAACUAUUUAGCUUCCCGAACUGUAGCGAUUCUAAUACUAUACAAAAUUAAAAUUAUUUCGGUUUGUAAAUUAAUUUAUUUCAUGUAAUUUAAAGAGAGUAUAUGUGUUUGUGUGUGUUUGUGUGUUUAUACAUUUAUGAAGGCGUAGAUUUCUACACGUAUUUUUAUCCAUCUCAUAUUGCAGUUUGUUUUGUUUUUCAACAAAUAUCAUAAGAUCAUGACAAAAACAAAGGAGUCAGUUCUGGUGUCCACAAAAGAAGAGCCUUUCAUUACAAAAUACGAUUUGUAAAAUCUCGCAAUGAAAGAUAAGCUCAAUUCAGCGGAUGUAAAAUUUGACAAAUGGUCUAAGGGAAGUAACCAAGUGCAAGUUGUUCGAUUUUUGUGUUCAAGAGUUGUCUCCAUUAGUCUUAGGCAUGCCUGAACAUUUUAUUUCCUAGGCUGCUUUGUGUGUGGGGAGGGUGAAUGUUUGAGGGUAAGGGUGGAACAAACGGAGCGGGUUUAGUGGACAAUAGACAAAGGCAGCUGUAUAUCAACCAACAUGGCUGCUCACUGUGUGACCUGAUCACAAUUCUGACAAAACAAUGCAAGAACAAGACAUUAUUUGUGCAUGUAAUAUUUGCAAAUCUGUGUUGCGUAAAAUAAAAUCUCUUAUGCAUU